UGCUCUUUAGGGUUAACGCCCAGAAGAGCCGCAGUGAAUAGGCCCAAGCGACUGUUUAUCAAAAACACAGGUCUCUGCUAAACCGUAAGGUGAUGUAUAGGGGCUGACGCCUGCCCGGUGCUGGAAGGUUAAGAGGAGUGGUUAGCUUCUGCGAAGCUACGAAUCGAAGCCCCAGUAAACGGCGGCCGUAACUAUAACGGUCCUAAGGUAGCGAAAUUCCUUGUCGGGUAAGUUCCGACCCGCACGAAAGGCGUAACGAUUUGGGCACUGUCUCAACGAGAGACUCGGUGAAAUCAUAGUACCUGUGAAGAUGC
rnacentral:rRNA from 1 species